rnacentral:rRNA from 1 species
GUGAUCAAUUGAACCGCAGGCUUCACCCCUUGUGGUGCUCCCCCGCCAAUUCCUUUAAGUUUCAUACUUGCGUACGUACUUCCCAGGCGGCAGACUUAACGGCUUCCCUGCGGCACUGCAUUGGCCACAAGCCAAUGCAUCACCGAGUCUGCAUCGUUUACGGCUGGGACUACCCGGGUAUCUAAUCCGGUUUGCUCCCCCAGCUUUCAUCCCUCACCGUCGAACGUGUUCUGGUACACCGCCUUCGCCACAGGUGGUCUUCAAUAGAUCAAAGGAUUUUACCCCUUCCUAUCGAGUACCGUGUACCUCUCCCACUCCCUAGCUGCACAGUAUUUUCGGCGGCCUAUACGUUAAGCGCAUAGAUUUAACCGAAAGCUUAUGCAACCGGCUACGGAUGCUUUAGGCCCAAUAAACCUCCUGACCACUCGAGGUGCUGGUUUUACCGCGGCGGCUGACACCAGAACUUGCCCACCCCUUAUUCACCAGUGAUUCUACAACUGACAAAAGACUCCUUUAGCAGGAGACACUCGGAUUAACCUUGUCGUGCUUUCGCACAUUGCAAAGGU